CUCCAUUACAUGCUCCUGCCACAAUAUUCUGCCUCAUCACAGCUCCAAAAGCAACAGGGCCAAAGGAACAUGAACUGAAACCUCCAAAACUGACCUUCCCUGGGGAGUCUUUAAGCAGCAUGUAAGGAAGUUGUCCACCCUUAUGAGAAGACCCUAGGAAAGAAAGGAGGGAGAAAGAAGAACAAGAAGCCCCAGCUGUUCCAUUUCCAGCUGUCUCAACCUUCUCCAUGCAGGAACCAGAGCAAGGAUGCUUUUGAGAUGACCUGUCCUAACUGAAAACUCAAACAAAAAGUGCCCCCGGAUGUACCUUGUCAACUCACAGAUUCAUCAGCUAAAGAACAGGUGAUCGUGACCUAUCAGCCAAGUUCCCUAUGGCUCCAAGACUCUGAGACAGAGAGGAAGGCAAUCAGCCUUCUGAAGGCCCACAUCGUGACACAGGAGAUAAUCAUCUGUACAUACAGUUUGGAUCUGGAUGUUCCCUAAAGACUCAUGUGUUGAAGGUUUGGACCCCAGUGCAGCAAUCUUCAGAGGUGGAGUUUUUGAGAAGUGAUCAAAUCAUGAGGGCUUGACCUCAUCAGUAGACUAAUCUAUUGAUGAUUCACAGCUAGCUGAAUGGAUUAUUGGGAGGUGGUAGGAACUAUAGGAGGCAGGACCUAGUUGGAGGGAGUGAGCCCUUGGGGACUGUAUCUUGUCCCUAGCUUUUCCCCCUGUUCUUUUACUAUGCUUUUCAGCAACCAUGAGUUGAGCAACUCUGCUCCACCAUGGCCUCUCUGCCAUGUUACUUUGUCUCACCACAGACCAUAGAAAUGAAGCCAGCCAAUCAAGGAUGGAAAACCUCUGAAACUGUAAACCAAAAUAAAUCUUUUCUCCUUGA